AUUACUUUGCACCUCUCCCUGGGAGAGGAGCAGAGGAGCAGAGACUCGAAAGGAUGGGGGCACCACGCUCAAAGAUUUUGCUGGAAAUUUGCAGAGGAAAAUACGAGUAUGACAAAGUGUAUGAGAAGCUUUCAUGUUCUGAGUCUUAUACUUGAUUUUCAGGAGAGAAGGCGAAUGAAGAUAAAAUACUCACUCAGACUUGUGCCCCAGGGAAAAUAUUCGCUAAGCUGUUUUCAUGGUCACCUCAUUUAAUCCCCACACCUCAGUUAGGCACCAGAAUCUUCAUUUUACAAAGGAGGGAAUUGAGUCUAUGAGAGCACAGCUAAUAAUUUGCAAAAAUCAUAAUUUGACCCCAAUUCUGCCUGGCUCUACAACACAACACGGAUUCUAUUGUCCCUUGGUAAAUAGGAUGUAUAACAGGAGUCUAGUCAAGCAUCCUUUUCUCCUUUUCCUAGGAGAUCGUCAUCCCCCUAAGACCACUGUGGUCUUGACUGACCCCAAUCUAGUUCACCAAAGCUCCACUUUCAGAGAUGGAAGCCCACUGUUUUUCUCUGUGAGACUCCAACCCCAGGGAGUAAGAAGGUAUCCCAUCAUUCCUGCCACUUCCCUGAAACAGUUCAGGAAGUUCUUGUUUGUGUCUUCAGCUGCACUGUCAUGGCCACCUCAACGUCCUGAAUCGAUUCAAAACAUUUACUUUUCCC
rnacentral:lncRNA from 1 species